rnacentral:rRNA from 1 species
GUCUCCUACGGGGCGCAGCAGUGGGGAAUAUUGCACAAUGGGGGGAACCCUGAUGUAGCGACGCCGCGUGAGUGAAGAAGUAUUUCGGUAUGUAAAGCUCUAUCAGCAGGGGAGAUAAUGACGGUACCUGACUAAGAAGCCCCGGCUAACUACGUGCCAGCAGCCGCGGUAAUACGUAGGGGGCAAGCGUUAUCCGGAUUUACUGGGUGUAAAGGGUGCGUAGGUGGCAGGGCAAGUCAGAUGUGAAAGCCCGGGGCCCAACCCCGGGGCUGCCUUUGAAACUGUCAGGCUGGAGUGCAGGAGAG